GAUGAACGCUGGCGGCGUGCCUAAUACAUGCAAGUCGAGCGAACAGACGAGGAGCUUGCUCCUCUGACGUUAGUGGCGGACGGGUGAGUAACACGUGGAUAACCUACCUAUAAGACUGGGAUAACUUCGGGAAACCGGAGCUAAUACCGGAUAAUAUAUUGAACCGCAUGGUUCAAUAGUGAAAGACGGUUUUGCUGUCACUUAUAGAUGGAUCCGCGCCGCAUUAGCUAGUUGGUAAGGUAACGGCUUACCAAGGCAACGAUGCGUAGCCGACCUGAGAGGGUGAUCGGCCACACUGGAACUGAGACACGGUCCAGACUCCUACGGGAGGCAGCAGUAGGGAAUCUUCCGCAAUGGGCGAAAGCCUGACGGAGCAACGCCGCGUGAGUGAUGAAGGUCUUCGGAUCGUAAAACUCUGUUAUUAGGGAAGAACAAAUGUGUAAGUAACCAUGCACGUCUUGACGGUACCUAAUCAGAAAGCCACGGCUAACUACGUG
rnacentral:rRNA from 1 species